rnacentral:ncRNA from 1 species
CUACGUUGAUAACAGGUCGCCAAGACUCACCCACGGAUGCUUCCUCAGUCCGUGGCUCUGAAAGGUCAAGAUCAUGCUGGCGCAGGGUAAAACGCCGAAGGUCUUGACCGCUGCCACAAGGCAGGAGCCGGUUAUCGACAUUCCCGAGGGGAGACGGGGCGUAAGCCC